rfam:Clostridiales bacterium 42_27 Ley3_66761_scaffold_15991, whole genome shotgun sequence.
AUAAUGAUACUUCUGACUUCUGCCUUCGGGCAGCUCGGUGAGAACCACGGAGAGGUGAGAACCCUAUGG